rnacentral:piRNA from 1 species
UCUAAGCGUGCAGGGAUUGGUCACUUAGA